rnacentral:misc_RNA from 1 species
GAUGAAGAACGCAGCGAAAUGCGAUAAGUAAUGUGAAUUGCAGAAUUCAGUGAAUCAUCGAAUCUUUGAACGCACAUUGCGCCCGCCAGUAUUCUGGCGGGCAUGCCUGUUCGAGCGUCAUUUCAACCCUCAGGCCCCCAGUGCCUGGUGUUGGGGAUCGGCCCAGCCUUCCUGUAAGGCCGCCGGCCCCGAAAUCUAGUGGCGGUCUCGCUGUAGUCCUCCUCUGCGUAGUAGCACAACCUCGCAGUUGGAACGCGGCGGUGGCCAUGCCGUUAAACACCCCACUUCUGAAAGUUGACCUCGGAUCAGGUAGGAAUGCCCGCUGAACUUAAGCAUAUCAAUAAGCGGAGGA